UAAUUUGAACCCAUUAUGUGGCCUAAUCCCUACAAAUAGCCCAAAAUUGAAAGAGCAAAAACUGAACCCUAGCACAAGUAAGCAAAACCCUCGCAACUCUCUGUUUUAGCAAAGAUAGCGCUGCCGCAGCUAAACUGAGCGACCUCUUUCCCUCAGAAAAUCAUGACAGAUGACACUCCUAAUGUUGUGAAGGACGAGGUUACAGAACUUGCAUCCUUCGAUCCUACUAAAAUGAAGAAGAAGAAGAAGAAGAAGAAGAUGGUUGUCAUGCAGGAUGGUAUAGACAAUUCUGUAGAUAAGCUUGCUGAAGAAAACUGAAACCUUCUCGGUCUCUGCAGGGCUUGAUAGUACUUUCACUGGUUUGAAAAAGAAGAAGGAGAAACCAAAGCCAGUAUUUUGAAUGAAGAGAAUGUGGAUGCUGGAGAAGAUUUGGAUGAUCAUGUUGCAGAGUAUGAAGAUUGAGAAGGACUUGUGCUGCAACAACAGCUUUAUCCAUGGGAUGGGAGCUACUGUGAUUAUGAAUAUGAGAAGGCAUAGUAUGCAUUUGAGUGGAGGCUUUUUUUCUUUUAAUUUAUGUGAUUUCUGUUUUCUAUGUUAUUUUUUCUUUGGCUGUGCUUUUCACUAUAUGUGCCAAUUAAUUGAUGCUCAUGUAGUAUCUAUAUAUCCUUUUUAGGCUCUAUAGUAUAUAUAAAAUGUAAACCGGAGGGAGACCUUAUAAAGAAUAAGGUGCACUUAAGCAUUAAAACAUGGGCAUAAUAUGUUUCUGAAUACUUAGAUGAAUUGAUAUCAUGUCUACAAUUCCUAGGCAACACCAUUCCUUGCCCAUCUUUUCUUAGUUGCAUAACCAACGGAGGUAUUCUCUGAACGAGCAUGCAAAAAAGUGUAAGCUGGCUAACUGAAUAUCAUGAGCCUACUAGGACUGAAUAAAAGAAUAAUUCAGCUGCAGUUAGGGAGUCAGGGGGCCCACUGGCCAACCAAAUUAUAUGAAUGUACCAGAAACAAGUAGUAGAUUAAUGCAGCCGGCGAUAUUUAAUUUCUCUAAUUGUGUAUUUUUAAGUUCAAGUUUAUUCAAUUAGUUACUACAAGAAAUUUAGCUCGGAAUUGUUGAACUUUAAAUAAUUAAAGCCUUCUAUUUGAGUAGCUCAACCUCUAGGGUAUUGUACUGACCAUGAAGUAAAAGAUUCUUUGAUAAUUUAAUGACAUUGAUUUUAUGCAAUGUAAAAAAAUUAAAUAAAGAGAAAAAACAUCUUUCCAUACUCUGAUUCUUCUAGAUAAUUUCUAGAUGACCAUUUGUAAGUAUGGUAAUGCGGUCAAUGAUGAGUAAUGAUUUGCCUACAUUGUCAGAUUGUCUAAUUCAUGACUGAGACAUAUAUCUCUGAGGCCUUAUCAGUACCUUUAUUCUAAUUUUGUGAUGUUGAUUUACAAAGUGUUGUACGGCAACUGUUGCAACUUCUGCUGUUAUUGCCAUGAAUCUCUAGCUGAAUUCGUCACUUGCCCAAUCUUAUCUUGAGGCCAAGAAUGAUUUUUAAUGAUUCUGUAAAUUGUCUUAUCCCAUGUCAGUUAUGUUCAGUUGUUUUGGGGCUGCCUUGGUACCCCUUAAAAUGUUAAUAGUGAAGAUUGAUGAAAGUUGGGUCCCAGUAGAAGCUUGUCAGAAUUUUCAUACAUUUGCCAGAAUUUGCAUCAUAACAUUCACCUUGAUGUAAAAAUAGGAAAUUGGCAUUUACUGAGCUGCCUUGUUUAAUUUCCUGUGGUAUCAUUUUGCUAGUCUUUUCUGAUCUUGUUUUAUCGGCAGUGUGGUUCUGGACGAUCUUCUAGAGCUAUGUUGCUAUGUUAGCAGUAUAAAAUGUGUUGGUAUAUGAGGCUUCUAAAGCUGAGAUGUGCUGCUGAAAAUCUUAUGGGACAUGUUCUGCAGCCUCUACCGUAAAUUUUACUCCUGAUGUUUAUUCUAUUCCGCAAGUCCUGAACUAUGGUUCUGUUAAUCCUGUUUCAAAUAAAGCAGUAUUGGUUUCGGUUGAUUGAUCAUCAUUUCUUCCAUUGCGUAAUGCACCUUGUUUUUCUCCCAGUAAGAAUUAGUUGAUUGGGGCAAAAGGUCAAAGAGGCCCUUUAUACAAUUUGGGGAAAGACGAUUAAGCCCCAAUGCUUCAUUUUGUCUCAAUUUGGCCUUUUACUUUUUGAAAAAGUCGAAUUAAACCUAAAUUGAUAACGGUCCUAUUAUUGUUGGCGUCUAUUUUUUUUUUAAUGAUAAAAUGACAUUUAGAACUAUAUAUUAUUUAAUUUCUAUCUCUAAAAUAAUAAUAAUAUAUGACACAUUAAUAAAUGAAAUAAAAAUUAAUACCUAUUCUCACUUUUUCUUUCACCUCUUCACAUUUCUGCCAUCCAAAUAAACUCAAAUUCAACAAGAAUAAGCCAACCAAUUCCACCUCAUAAUUCCCGACACCCAAGUCCAAAGCAGUUUAUUUAAAUUUGUCCUCUGAAGCAUACUUUGGCUUAUAUUUCUUGAUAUCAUCAUUUAUUGAUUUAUAAAUUAUUAUAUAUCCAAAGCAUAUACUCCAGAUGAUAAUCCCAAGUUCUAGGUGUAUCAUUUCUAGUAAAUCUUUUGCUAUUUAUGUUUAUAUAUGCAUUUCUAGUCCAUCUCUCAUUAUUUUAUAACAAUUUUCUUGGUUAUUCUGAUCAAGAAUGGAAGAUUUUAGAUUGAAGUUGCUCUUAUUUUCUAUGGGAAUUGUUCUUCUUCUCUGUUGUACUGAAGCCCAAAAUAAUACAUAUAUAUAUGACCCGCUAAAGAAUGUGAAUCUGAGUCCAUUUUGGCAAUGGUUAAGUGCCUGGCAAUGCAUGCAAAAUUUUUCUAAAGCAUGCACAUCGCCUAAGGACGUAUUAACACUUGAUGGAGUACUAAAUGUAAGCACCGCUGAGAUUGGAGACUACUGCAGCAAAGGGUGUGCAGACCAUACAAAGAAUGUGCUCACUUGUAUCUCUUAUGUAAAACGAGACUUUUGGUUCUCCAACGGGGCCUCCGUUCGGAACCUCACCGAUUCCAUUAAUGACGGAUGUGCCACCAAUUCGACUAUCAAUACAAAAUUCAAAAGCAGUGCAACAAGGACACUUCAGAAUCUGUUGGUUCCCUUGGUGGCAUCUCUAGUAACAGCAAGUAUUGUAAUCAUCUUCAAUAUGUGAGACUUUUCCCGUCUUAUGUUGUUGAUGGAAAGAAGCCAACAAUAAAACUAUAAUAACUGCACCUUUUGUACUAAAUAAUUCAUGUGCUAUGUUCUUUCGUGGAUUCACUAUGUAAUUGCUUGUUCUUUUCCA